CAUGCAGGAAGACAGGUAGGAGGAGAUCAUCUGGCAAAGAGAUUUGCAGAGUGUCGGGUGACCGGCAAAGAGAUCUGCAAAGUGUCAGUUGAAGACGACGGAACGGGUCGCAGAGGAAUUAGUGACUGGAGAAUAGCAUGCAGGAGUGGGUGAUCCCUGAAUAGCUGCCCUGGGAGGAGAGCUGCGGA